UUCCAGACUCCUACGGGAGGCAGCAGUGAGGAAUAUUGGUCAAUGGGCGGGAGCCUGAACCAGCCAAGCCGCGUGAGGGGAGAAGGUACAGCGUAUCGUAAACCUCUUUUGUCAGGGAACAAAGGCGGGGACUAGUCCCCGGAUGAGGGUACCUGAAGAAAAAGCAUCGGCUAACUCCGUGCCAGCAGCCGCGGUAAUACGGAGGAUCCGAGCGUUAUCCGGAUUUAUUGGGUUUAAAGGGAGCGUAGAUGGGUUGUUAAGUCAGUUGUGAAAGUUUGCGGCUCAACCGUAAAAUUGCAAUUGAUACUGGCAGUCUUGAGUACAGUUGAGGUAGGCGGAAUUCGUGGUGUAGCGGUGAAAUGCUUAGAUAUCACGAAGAACUCCGAUUGCGAAGGCAGCUUACUAAACUGCCACUGACAUUGAUGCUCGAAAGUGUGGGUAUCAAACAGGAUUAGAUACCCGAGUAGUA
rnacentral:rRNA from 1 species